rnacentral:rRNA from 1 species
UACGUAGGGGGCAAGCGUUGUCCGGAUUUAUUGGGCGUAAAGAGCUCGUAGGUGGUUCGGUAAGUCGGAUGUGGAAUCUCCAGGCUCAACCUGGAGGGGUCAUUCGAUACUGCCGUGACUAGAGUUCGGUAGGGGAGUGUGGAAUUCCUGGUGGAGCGGUGAAAUGCGCAGAUAUCAGGAGGAACACCCGUGGCGAAGGCGGGUCUCUGGGCCGAUACUGACGCUGAGGAGCGAAAGCGUGGGGAGCGAACAGG